rnacentral:misc_RNA from 1 species
ACGCGAUAGGUGAUGUGAAUUGCAGAAUCCAGCGAACCAUUGAAUCUUUGAACGCACAUUGCGCCCUCCGGCAUUCCGGGGGGCACGCCUGUCCGAGCGUCGCCACGAACGUCGAGCCCUUGCUCGGUCUUGGGGCUUGCUCGUCCGCCUUCUCCGGAGGGCGGACGGCCCCGAAAAGCGUUGGCGGCGUCCUUCGAACCCACACAAAGGCGAAGGAGCCCUCGAGGUCGCGGGGAACCAUGACGACCGUUUGCAGAGGGCCCCGGCCGUUGACAGCGGGGAACGAAGGCGCCUGCCGGGCGUCCGUCCGAACCGAACCUUUAACAACGUUCGACCUCGGAUCAGGCGGGAAUACCCGCUGAACUUAA